rnacentral:misc_RNA from 1 species
GAUGAAGAACGCAGCAAAAUGCGAUAAGUAAUGUGAAUUGCAGAAUUCAGUGAAUCAUCGAAUCUUUGAACGCACAUUGCGCCCGCCAGUAUUCUGGCGGGCAUGCCUGUUCGAGCGUCAUUUCAACCCUCAAGCACAGCUUGGUGUUGGGACUCGCGUUAAUUCGCGUUCCCCAAAUUGAUUGGCGGUCACGUCGAGCUUCCAUAGCGUAGUAGUAAAACCCUCGUUACUGGUAAUCGUCGCGGCCACGCCGUUAAACCCCAACUUCUGAAUGUUGACCUCGGAUCAGGUAGGAAUACCCGCUGAACUUAAGCAUAUCAUAAGCGGAGG